AACACAACACCGUCACUUGGCUAGCUUUCUGGAAUGAUCCUAUCAAAAAGAGUUUAACUAUGUAUUUUUGGCAGCUGGCAGUGCCUUAAAAGGUCAGAGUGACAAGGAGAAGUAUGAGAAAGCCAAAAAUCUUACGAACAACAUAGACAAUAUAAGAGCAACUUUCACCAAAACUUUUACAUCUAAGGAUGUUACAAAGAAGCAAAUUGAUGUCACUACUUAUCUCAUUGAUAAACUGGCGGUUAGGACUGGAAAUGAGAAGCUAAUAUAAGCAGGAUCAUGAAGAGUGCGUUGCCUCCCAACGGAAUGAUCGGUAAAGAUGCUAAAGAUACAGUCCAGGAAUGCGUCUCCGAGUACAUCAGCUUCAUUACCAGGGAGCAUAGCCAGAGACAAGUGCCAGAAAGAGAAAUGGAAAACUGUGAAUGGUGAGGAUUUGUUGCGGGCAAUGUCAACAUUAGAUUUCGAGAAUUACUUGGAAUCCCUUAAAGCUGUACCAUGCGAGGUACAUUGAGGUAGGUUACAUUUACUCUUAACCCCUUUAUUUUUUACAGAGCCUAUUAUAGUUCCACAGAUUAGUAAGUUACUCGCCAAUGGAGAUACUAGCAACAUUUUUCUAUGUGUUUUGUUGUUGGCAAUCUGCUGUCAACAGAUAAAGUUCAUGAAGCAUAACGUCGAUGCAGUCUCUUUGCAAUGGUGUGAUGCCUUCAAGCAAAAGCAAAAAGCCAGUCAGCAGAACAUUUAUUUUGAGAAAGCCAGGUGGUUGUUCUUAGCGUGUCUUCACUGUCCAUGUAGAGGCUGUGAAGCAAAGUGAAGAAACAUCUAUCUAUAAUGAAGGUGUGACGUCAUUCAAAAUUAAUUUUCCUUCAAAGGUGUGUGGCUGGAGACAUCAAUCCCUUACAAGUAGUGGGUUGUUUCUCAAAGGUCAAAAAUACUCAGCUUAGAGCGGUACCACCUCCAUCAUCAUUUUUAAGGGUUAUUCCGGAGAACUAAAAACACAAAUUUUGAGUAUUUGUAUUCACUUUAUCUGAUUUGUUAUGAAUCGAAUCACUGGUAAAAGUUCAGAGUUUCUUACUCCAUUUUCAAAUGUUUAUGUGAAAGAUUCAAACCUUUCAUUUAGUUAAUAUCAUUUCUUUAACUUUAUGCUAUGUAAUUAAGGUGUUGGUCAUUUAGGCCACCCACGUUUGUCUCACUUUAGCUUUUGGCGAUUAGUCAAUCCUUUGAUGUUUUUCCUAUUAA